GGGAACACCAGCAGCUCGGGGCUCCAGUCUGCAGGGCACCUGAAAUCCGUCCUGUCCUCCCCUCUUAGCAGCUUCGUGUCGGUGGCAUCAUCCUCUGUGUCGGGGGGUUGGUGGCCUUGGCUUUUUCUUAGCUCGACCUCUUUCUCCCCUCGUUUUUGGAGAAAAGACCUCAGGAUGGCAAAUUCAAUCUUCCCUCGGACAGCAAAAGCAAAUUGUCCUUUCCAUCCAAACUGAAGAGUUAGCUCCAAUUACCUAGGGGCUGUGACCUCGCUUCUUGGCAACCUUGAUGCUCUCCGGGUUCCUCAGAUCUGUGCAGGACCGUUCGUGUUUCAAGCCCUGCAUCUCCCAGAUUAUGGUCCCGCUUUGCUGUGAGCUUUUGAGGCAAGCCUCGGACAAGCAUCAGGGCUGGAGGGAGGUGCCCCAUGCCUUUGUGUGUCUCAGUGGGUAUUUAAUGCCCUAUGGCCUCGUUAUGUUAUAUUUUCCAUGAGGUCUGGCUCUCUUUCCAUUACACAUCAGGGCUCAGGGCUGA